rnacentral:rRNA from 1 species
UACGAAGGGGGCUCGCGUUGCUCGGAAUUACUGGGCGUAAAGGGCGCGUAGGCGGCUGACUAAGUCGGGGGUGAAAGCCCGGGGCUCAACCUCGGAACUGCCUUCGAUACUGGUCAUCUUGAGUACGGGAGAGGUGUGUGGAACUCCGAGUGUAGAGGUGAAAUUCGUAGAUAUUCGGAAGAACACCAGUGGCGAAGGCGACACACUGGCCCGUUACUGACGCUGAGGCGCGAAAGCGUGGGGAGCAAACAGG